UUAAUUAGAUAGGAUUGAAUUCUUUAGGUGGUUUACCCAGUGCAAUUUUGAAUACUAAGCAAAAAGGAGCUAUUGGUAGCUUAUUUCUUAGGUGCAGCAAGUAUAUUUCAAGUAGAGAGGUCAAGGGAAAGACUUAGCAUGGGCUAAAUCUCUUAUUAUAAUGUGUAAGAUGAUUACAUCUUAUUUCAGUGAAGAAGCUACCAUUUCUACUAAAAACAGUAACGAAACAAGACAGAUGCUUCUCAACAAUCUUCUUCAGUUUUUGCACCAACUCUCAGAAGAGGCUUAUGAGACUCUAGGCAAAGACAUCCACCUCCAACUACACUCUGCUUGGGGAACGUGGUUGAUGUCUGUUGGAGAGGAGAAAUCUGCAUGCUAAGAAGAAGCCGAGUUGUUAGUGCGCACCAUUAAUCUUUUUGGUGGCCAUAUGGUAGAUGAUGAGAUAAUAUCCAGUACAGACUACAAAAAUAUAUCUAACAUUACCAAUAAUGUCUGUUUCAAGCU